rnacentral:tRNA from 1 species
AGCUGCGUGGUAGCUCACAAAGCUCAUAACCUUGGAGUUACGGGUUCAAUACCUACU